rnacentral:rRNA from 1 species
GAUGAACGCUAGCGGGAGGCUUAACACAUGCAAGUCGAGGGGCAGCAUAGGGUAGCAAUACUCUGAUGGCGACCGGCAAACGGGUGAGUAACGCGUAUGCAACCUACCCUGUACAGGGGGAUAACCCGGAGAAAUUCGGACUAAUAUCCCGUAAUAAUAUCCGGAGGCAUCUUUGGAUAUUUAAAGUUCCGACGGUACGGGAUGGGCAUGCGUAACAUUAACUGGUUGGUAAGGUAACGGCUUACCAAGGCUAUGAUGUUUAGGGGUCCUGAGAGGGUGGUCCCCCACACUGGUACUGAGACACGGACCAGACUCCUACGGGAGGCAGCAGUGAGGAAUAUUGGUCAAUGGGCGCAAAGCCUGAACCAGCCAUCCCGCGUGCAGGAAGACGGCCCUAUGGGUUGUAAACUGCUUUUCCAGGGAGAGAAACUUACGCACGUGUUGCGUGACUGACGGUACCCUGGGAAUAAGCAUCGGCUAACUCCGUGCCAGCAGCCGCGGUAAAACGUCUA